rnacentral:rRNA from 1 species
UCGUACUGAUCUUGCGCACCCUAGAGAUAGGGCGUUUCCUUCGGGAACGCAAUGACAGGUGGUGCAUGGUCGUCGUCAGCUCGUGUCGUGAGAUGUUGGGUUAAGUCCCGCAACGAGCGCAACCCUUGUUACUAGUUGCCAGCAUUAAGUUGGGCACUCUAGUGAGACUGCCGGUGACAAACCGGAGGAAGGUGGGGACGACGUCAGAUCAUCAUGCCCCUUAUGACCUGGGCUACACACGUGCUACAAUGGACGGUACAACGAGUCGCGAACUCGCGAGGGCAAGCAAAUCUCUUAAAACCGUUCUCAGUUCGGACUGCAGGCUGCAACUCGCCUGCACGAAGUCGGAAUCGCUAGUAAUCGCGGAUCAGCAUGCCGCGGUGAAUACGUUCCCGGGUCUUGAAC